rnacentral:rRNA from 1 species
AUUGAACGCUGGCGGCAUGCCUUACACAUGCAAGUCGAACGGUAACAGGCCUUCGGGUGCUGACGAGUGGCGAACGGGUGAGUAAUGCAUCGGAACGUGCCCAAUCGUGGGGGAUAACGUAGCGAAAGUUACGCUAAUACCGCAUAAGCCCUGAGGGGGAAAGUGGGGGACCGCAAGGCCUCACGCGAAUGGAGCGGCCGAUGUCAGAUUAGCUAGUUGGUGGGGUAAAGGCCCACCAAGGCGACGAUCUGUAGCGGGUCUGAGAGGAUGAUCCGCCACACUGGGACUGAGACACGGCCCAGACUCCUACGGGAGGCAGCAGUGGGGAAUUUUGGACAAUGGGCGCAAGCCUGAUCCAGCAAUGCCGCGUGGAUGAAGAAGGUCUUCGGAUUGUAAAGUCCUUUCGACGGGGACGAUGAUGACGGUACCCGUAGAAGAAGCCCCGGCUAACUUCGUG